rnacentral:lncRNA from 1 species
CCAGACAAAACCUCGAGAAACCCAUUCGGCCGGUCUUUCAUAACCGUUACACAGUUUACAUAUAUAAUACUAAGGUCGGUUGCAGUUUUUUUUCUUUAUAUACACAUACAUGACAUAUAAAUAUGUAUAUAUACACAGAGAGAAAGCCAGCAUUUACAUGUAAUAUUGCUAUUUGAAGAUUAAUUAACUAUGCAUAUGUAGGUGGGAGGUUGGUUUUCUUAACUGCACCAUGGAGGAGAGUGCAAGGAAUCCCACCCGGUUGUAUCGACGAAAUUACCUCCUAAAAUCCCUGGAUCUUCCAUUGUUGGGAACCCUAAUGACAUAGCAGCUUCUGCCCAGAUUGAAUCAUCAAACACAGGCAAAUUCAGGCUCAUGUUCUCCCAAAUCUCCUCCAUCCCAUCUUCAUCCUUUCCAAAUUUGACAUUACUAUCAACCAGGUUACCUCUGGACUCAACCUUUGAAUCAGGACAUGGCACGGUCGAAUCGUUAUUUG